rnacentral:rRNA from 1 species
UACAGAGGUCUCAAGCGUUGUCCGGAAUUAUUGGGCGUAAAGCGCGCGCAGGCGGUCCUUUAAGUCUGAUGUGAAAGCCCACGGCUUAACCGUGGAGGGUCAUUGGAAACUGGAGGACUUGAGUGCAGAAGAGGAGAGUGGAAUUCCACGUGUAGCGGUGAAAUGCGUAGAUAUGUGGAGGAACACCAGUGGCGAAGGCGACUCUCUGGGACGGUACUGACGCUGAGACGCGAAAGCGUGGGGAGCAAACAGG